rnacentral:rRNA from 1 species
GACGAACGCUGGCGGCGUGCUUAACACAUGCAAGUCGAACGGAAAGGCCUGCUUUCCCUUGUGGAUUGCGGGUACUCGAGUGGCGAACGGGUGAGUAACACGUGUGUGAUCUGCCCCCAACUUGGGUAUAAGCCUGGGAAACUGGGUCUAAUUCCCGAUAGGACUGCAGGGUGGUGCCUGUGGUGGAAAACGAUUUUCUAGUGGUUGGGGAUGAGCUCGCGGCCUAUCAGCUUGUUGGUGGGGUAAUGGCCUACCAAGGCGGCGACGGGUAGCCGGCCUGAGAGGGUGGACGGCCACAGUGGGACUGAGAUACGGCCCAGACUCCUACGGGAGGCAGCAGUGGGGAAUAUUGCACAAUGGGCGGAAGCCUGAUGCAGCGACGCCGCGUGGGGGAUGACGGCCUUCGGGUUGUAAACUCCUUUCGACCGCGAGGAAGCCACCUGGUUGGAAGGGUGGUGACGGUAGUGGUAGAAGAAGCACCGGCUAACUACGUG